CCGCGCCGGCCCUCGCGCGGUCUGCGGGCGGCGGCCUCGGGUGGGUCCGGGGGCGGCGCGGGCCGUGCAGGAAGCGGGCUCUCGGGCGUGGGGCCCAUGCCUUUCCCCUGAGCCAGGCGUCUUCGCGCUUUUAUGCAGGUUAUUUUUACGCGUUCAGAAUUUUCCAAGGGAGCCCUUGUGCGGUGGCACCUUCUUCUCGUGGCGCUUGAGCUUGGAAGAAAUGUUCAGGAUUAUUGAUAACCCGUGUCUAUUUUUGCUCCGCGCCCAAACGUGGGCCUUCCGUGCACGCCCGGCGAGCAGAGAGACAGACGUGGUCCCCGCCCUCAGGCUGAUGGAUUGGUAGAAAUGAAACAAUCCCCUUCAAUCUAGUAUGAAUGGAAGAAACAAGCAUCUAAACUCCUGAUAAUUCAAAACCUAGGACCAGAUGGAAGAAAAUGUGGUGGGAGAAAGGAGAGUGCCUUCCAGCUCCUGGAGCUCAAUGGCGGUGUGAGACUUCCCAGGCGUGGAGAACCUGAGCCUCUCGCCGAGAGCGCAGCAGAACAACGUACAGCGGCGGGGACAGCAAAACCCGAGUCCUGUCCCCUAAAGGAAGGAGGACAGGAAGGUGUUAUGAAGAAACAAGGGAUUGAGAUGGAGAAUAACCGAGGGGUCCUACAGAGGGAAAAGUGGAGAGAGGAGGCCUCCUGCGGCAAGUGAAAUAAACCCUGUGACCCGAAGGAGGAAGGCCCUGUCUGCCGCUACGUGGAGACUAGAUUGUGGAGGCUUCUGACAAAUUCUUGACUUGCCUUGUUAAUGACUUCAUCUCCCAGAGGAACUGCCCCCAGGAAGUGGCCACAUAUAGUGGGGCUGCUAGGCAAGUAGAGAUGAUAGAAACCUGGAAGGAAAUGUAAACUUAGGGUUCCAGAGAUCCAGGAAGGACAGCAGGGGCAGGGCUGGGUGUGCUCUUUCAUCUUCAGCCCAGGAGAUUUCAAAAGGCGUACCUGGAGGGGAGCCGUGCAUCUUGGAAAGGGAGAGCCACACGGGAAAGUUGGGAGUUUCGCAAUGCUGACUGUGUAAUUACAGACGACUUUCCUUCCAGUGAGGAACAGCAGUUCCAUUAAGAAGAUAAACUUCAGGCAAACGUGGCGGAGGUCAUCAAUGAAGGGACCGGAAACUUGACCUGAAGGGACUGUCAAUGGCAGCCAGGAUGGAUGCAGGGCUUUCUGUUUGCUUUGCUCUCUGCAGUGUCCCCAGCACACGUGAUCCUUGUUAAUAUUUGCUGCAUGAAUGAAUGUAUGCAUGGAUGAAUAAAUGUCAGCACUGCUCUGAUAAAGGUAUGUGCAAAUAUCCAGGCAGGGGGGACCCUUUCUUUGCCUUCCCAGCAACCUUUUUGGCUGCCUGCCUCCUCAGGAGUCUUGGUGGGAGGCUGGCCUCACCAGCACAGGACGGUAGCUAAGGUGUGGACCCUAGAUCUCUGCUCCUGCCUGCCUUGGUGGAAGCAGGGAUGAUCGGAGGCUUUGCUCAGCGUUGCCAGCAGAGAGGGUGCAGCCCACGCCAUUGUUGCCACAUUCACCAUGCCAGUGGGUGUGUGGGCCUGGGACCUGCCCCCUCCUCUGAUCUCCUCUAUGUGCCCUUCACACAGUCUGCCCCCGUGGUUGCAGAACUAUAGUGCAACUCUAGCACCAGGAAUCCCACCUUUCCUGCUGACCCCCAGAGCUGCUUUCUCUCUCUGCCUGAUUCCAUGCCUACCUGUUUGUUGCCGCCCCACCCAAUGUCCUUCCAAUAAAAUGCCCUUCU